rnacentral:lncRNA from 1 species
UUUUUGAUGUAAUAGUUGUAAACUGUGUUGUCUUAACGUUUUGAUUAAUAACUAAAUUUUAAUUUGAAAACCUUCAAUUUAAAUGUUUUAGCAUUUAAGUAGUAAUAUUUGAAGUUAAAAACUUGGACCAGUAUCUUUUUUCUCAUUUGACUACCACAUUUUCUCCUAAUAAUAGAUUUUAGUGGCUAUGCUUAUGGGAUAGAUUAAACUUGCCAUGAUCUGAAGAGGGAGGGUUUUUUCAUGUCCUCCUCCUAUAUGAAAUGGCUGAACGGAUAUUAUUACUUACGACAUUUUGGCUCUGUGUUAAGCAUGAUGAAUGCAAAGAGUUUGAGUAGUGACUUUAUAAGCGUUUUUCUCCCCCACACUUUUAAACAGGGAAGCAGUGCGUUAUAUCAAUGAAAACCUAAUUGUUAACACAGAUGAACUGGGAAGAGAUUGCCUGAUUAAUGCUGCUAAGACAUCCAUGUCUUCCAAAAUCAUUGGAAUAAAUGGUGAUUUCUUUGCUAACAUGGUAGUAGAUGCUGUACUUGCUAUUAAAUACACAGACAUAAGAGGCCAGCCACGCUAUCCAGUCAACUCUGUUAAUAUUUUGAAAGCCCAUGGGAGAAGUCAAAUGGAGAGUAUGCUCAUCAGUGGCUAUGCACUCAACUGUGUGGUG